GCCAGAAUGAUCGCUAACGGUAUGCAUUCACAUGCCAGUUACAUUAUUAUUUUAAAUAUUUAAAAUAAUAAAUUGUAGCGAACGGGUGAGUAACGUAUAAGAAUCUGCUAUUAUUUUUAAUAAUGAGCUUAUAUCUAAUUAGUUAGUUGGUGGGAUAAUAGCCUACCAAGACUAUGAUUAGUAGCUGGUCUGUGAGGACGGUCAGCCACACUAGGACUGAGACAAGGCCUAGACUUCUUUUUUGAAGUCUGCAGUGGGGAAUAUUCCGCAAUGAGCGAAAGCUUGACGGAGCAUAUCGUGUGAAUUAAUAGUUCUAUAUUAAGCAAAUAUAAUGAAUAGCUUAAGAAAAGUAUCGGCUAAUAUCUGUGCCAGCAGCCGCGGUAACACAGAAGAUGCGAGCGUUAUUCGGUAUUAUUGGGUGUAAAGGGUUUGUAGGUUUUUUAUUAAGUCUUUUGUUAAAUAAUAAGAAAAUUUAUUAAUCAAAAGUUACUAAUAGAAUUGAGUAUAAAUUUUAGCGUAGAAGGAAUUUUUUAUGUAAUAAUAAAAUAUUUAAAUAUAAAAAGGAACAUCAAAGGCGAAGGCAUUCUACUUAUUUAUACUGACAUUGAGGAACGAAAACUAUGGUAGCAAAUGGGAUUAGAGACCCCGGUAGACAUAGUUGUAAACGAUGAAUACUAAAUUUAAUUAUUUAUUUUUAAUUUUUAAAUUAAAGCUAACGGGUAAAGUAUUCCACCUGGGGAGUACGUUUUUAUUAAUGAAACUCAAAGGAAUUGGCGAGGGUUCUUAUUAACGAUGGAGUAUGUGGUUUAAUUCGAUACUUUAGCGAUUACCAAUUUUUUUAAUUAAUGUAAAAAUUUAUUAAAAGGUGGUGCAUGGCUGUUGUCAGUUCGUGCUGUGAAGUGUUAGGUUAAGUCCUAAAACGAACGCAACCCUCUUAAUUUAUUAUAAAAUAUGUAGUUAUUAAACUUUUUUUUUGUUUGGGAGAUCGCGAUAAAUAAUAACUUUUAUUUACUCUUUUUAUAAAUUAUAAAGUUUUUUAAUUAAUAGUAUUUAUCAAAAUUAAACUUCUAAAAAUAAAAAAAUAAAAUAGAGGAAGGGGGACCAUAGCAAGUCAAUAUGCCCCUUAUAAAUUGGGCUACGCGCGUACUACAAUGGAAUAUACAAUCUAUAUCAAUAAAAUAUUCCUCAGUUCGGAUUGCGAAUCUAAGCUCAUUCGCAUGAAGUAGGAAUCGUAAGUAAUCGUAUAACUUUUAUACGGUGAAAUUAGUAUUCCUCCUUUAAUAGGGGGAAGAGACGAAAUAAGAAUCUUGUACACACUGCCCGUCACGUUACGGCGAUUUUAUUACGUUAAGUCUUCCUUUAUAGGGGGAUGUUCGUAAAAGAGUUCUG
rnacentral:rRNA from 1 species